UCAAACUUGGUCAUUUAGAGGAAGUAAAAGUCGUAACAAGGUUUCCGUAGGUGAACCUGCGGAAGGAUCAUUACAAAUCCAUCCACGUCUCGCUCCCGAGACCACGUUGAAAUGUUCUGCGUGCAGGCACGCAUGGUGUCGUGAUCGGGGGUGAUGAAGGAGAGGAGUGGAGAAGGGGAGGUGUCAGCCGUGCCAUGCGCAUGCUGCUGCUCCUCUCUCUCUCUCUCUCUCUCUCCCCCCCCCUUCUUCCGCUCCGUGCGUGCCUCUCGCAUAUCUCAACUAGUUAUCUCUUGUUGAACGAGUGUAUUGUCGAGCAUCCUUCUUGACGGAGAGAUGUCUUAACACAAAGUACAACUUAUAACAAUGGAUCUCUAGGCUCUUGCAUCGAUGAAGAACGCAGC
rnacentral:misc_RNA from 1 species